AAUUGAUCAACGAUAAUAGGAGGAACCCCUGCAAGCUUUAAAGGGCUCGUGUUACUUUAACAUCACUUUUGAAUUUCACGAAAGCAGAUAAAAGUUUUAGUGACGUUGCAGAAACUCCGGAAUACUGUGGAUUGGGAGGAGGAGAAAGUGAUAAUUCUGUUAUAUGGCCUGUUUCUAGGACACGAUAAACUUCCUAAUAAGUUAACAACUCUACCUCGAUUCGAUGCAGUGCACAGUGGGAAAGGUUGAAGUUGACGUUCAAGCAGUCACCCUGCCGAACAAGAAAUCUUUCAGGCCAAGAGGCUAGGUGACUAGAAACUCAAUCACUAUAUCCGUGAAACUUGUCGGGAGCACUGUUAUUUGUGGAGGUCGGACCGAAACUGUAAUCAGACACUAAACAUUGACGAGGACCAAUUACUCUACUCCUUCAAUGAUUAAUAAAGAUCGCUGAUUGCUUUUACUAAUGUAUAAUGUUAAAAUGAAAGAGAAACUAUCGAGACGAAAGAGAAAAAGGCACUCAUUUAUUUAUAGUUUUAUGUCUUAACAAUGAUAUUCGAAAGCUAAUUUUAAAAACUGGCUCUGAAUCCUUGCUAAAUGAUUUGGGAAGGUGUAAGGGCUUAAUAUGCCUGUAGACAUCAUUUUCAGUGGGUUUUAUGAAGUUUAUGAUUAGAGUAUAUUUUGGGACUGAAAUAAGCGCAAGACCUUCGACGUUUCUAUUCCUACUGUUUUUUUAAUUUAGCAAAUAUACAAACAAAUUUUAUACUGUCGUAAAGAUAAAAUAUUUAGUUAUCGGAUAGAGACUUGAAAAUUAAGUAUUACAAUAACCAAGCUAAAAUAUUCAAUGUUAAACUCAAAAAUUUUCACGCGUCUAUGAAGAAAUAUUUAGUUCUGCGCGUAGUUUUUUGGUCAAAUCUACGGCAAAUUUUCGCCAAUUUUGUUCAUAGUUUCAAAAUGUUAUUUAGUAGACAAAUUACUUUCGGACUACA